UAGGGAAUUCGGCAAUGGACGGAAGUCUGACCGAGCAACGCCGCGUGAGUGAAGAAGGUUUUCGGAUCGUAAAGCUCUGUUGUAAGAGAAGAACGAGUGUGAGAGUGGAAAGUUCACACUGUGACGGUAUCUUACCAGAAAGGGACGGCUAACUACGUGCCAGCAGCCGCGGUAAUACGUAGGUCCCGAGCGUUGUCCGGAUUUAUUGGGCGUAAAGCGAGCGCAGGCGGUUAGAUAAGUCUGAAGUUAAAGGCUGUGGCUUAACCAUAGUACGCUUUGGAAACUGUUUAACUUGAGUGCAAGAGGGGAGAGUGGAAUUCCAUGUGUAGCGGUGAAAUGCGUAGAUAUAUGGAGGAACACCGGUGGCGAAAGCGGCUCUCUGGCUUGUAACUGACGCUGAGGCUCGAAAGCGUGGGGAGCAAACAGGAUUAGAUACCCUGGUAGUCCACGCUGUAAACGAUGAGUGCUAGGUGUUAGACCCUUUCCGGGGUUUAGUGCCGUAGCUAACGCAUUAAGCACUCCGCCUGGGGAGUACGACCGCAAGGUUG
rnacentral:rRNA from 1 species